UGCGUAGGCGGGCUACUAAGUCUGGGGUGAAAUCUUGCCGCUUAACGGUAAAAUGGCCUUGGAUACUGGUAGUCUUGAGUGUAGAAGAGGCAGGUGGAAUUCGUAGUGUAGCGGUGAAAUGCAUAGAUAUUACGAAGAACAUCAGUGGCGAAGGCGGCCUGCUGGUCUACAACUGACGCUGAGGCACGAAAGCGUGGGGAGCGAACA
rnacentral:rRNA from 1 species